rnacentral:misc_RNA from 1 species
GUGAAUCAUCAAAUUUUUGAACGCAAAUUGCACUCUCUUCGGAGAGUAUGCCUGUUUGAGGGUCAGCCUAUAAAAAAUCGACAUCGUCGCUGUUUCGCGGUGGCGUUCGUCGGAAAUUGGGUCAUCUUAAACCCUUUUGGUUUUUAAGCGACUUAAAAUUCUUUUUUUUUUUACAUGAACGUUUCUAAGAUUUAUUUCUUUACACGUUUAAGGUAUCGAUUUUUAUUAGACGUGACCAUCAUAUAGGAUCACGUCCAUAAUCUUUAAUUAACUGAC